rnacentral:rRNA from 1 species
AUUGAACGCUGGCGGCAGGCUUAACACAUGCAAGUCGAACGAGUGGCGGACGGGUGAGUAAUGCUUGGGAAUCUGGCUUAUGGAGGGGGAUAACGACGGGAAACUGUCGCUAAUACCGCGUACCCUAGGAUGAGCCCAAGUGGGCUUCGCGAGUUGGUGGGGUAAUGGCCUACCAAGCCGACGAUCUCUAGCUGGUCUGAGAGGAUGACCAGCCCACCCGGGACUGAGACACGGCCCGGACUCCUACGUGAGGCAGCAGGGGGGAAUCUGGCGCUAUGGGGGGAACCUGACGCCGCCAUGCCGCGUGAAUGAAGAAGGCCUUCGGGUUGUAAAGUUCUUUCGGUGACGAGGCGUUAAUCACAGAAGAAGCACCGGCUAACUCCGUGCCAGCAGCCGCGGUAAUAC